AACGCACAUUGCGCCCCGUGGUAUUCCGCGGGGCAUGCCUGUUCGAGCGUCAUUAUGACCAACAUCACGCCUGGCGUGGUCUUGGGGCUGGCAACUCUGCCGCCCUCAAACGCAGUGGCAGCGCCGCAUGGCUCUUAGCGUAGUAAUACUCCUCGCUAUAGGGUCCUACGGUUGCCCGCCAGCAACCCCCAAUCUUUACAGGUUGACCUCGGAUCAGGUAGGGAUACCCGCUGAACUUAA
rnacentral:misc_RNA from 2 species